CUGCUGCCUCCCGUAGGAGUCUGGUCCGUGUCUCAGUACCAGUGUGGGGGACCUUCCUCUCAGAACCCCUACGCAUCGUCGGUUAGGUGGGCCGUUACCCCGCCUACUGCCUAAUGCGCCGCAUGCCCAUCCCUGUCCGGCCGAAGCCUUUCCUGCCUCCGGGAUGCCCCGGUGGCAUGUACGCGGGUUUAGCCCGCCUUUCGGCGGGUUGUCCCCCUAACAGGGGCAGGUUGCAUACGUGUUACUCACCCGUGCGCCGGUCGCCGGCGGAGAAAG
rnacentral:rRNA from 1 species